rnacentral:lncRNA from 1 species
CUGGAAGAAAAGAGAUGGCUGGUUCUAAGUGGAUGUUUUGGCCAGAAAAUCAGAAGGGCUAUGUCUAUAAGGUUCAUUAACUCUUGCCCUCUCUUGCCAAUAACCCAUGUUCAGGAGGCCACCAAUCUGACACCCUCAAAAGAACUUCCCGAAGGAGGCAAAGUCUAGAAGGAGAAUACCUGCUCUGAAGUUUCCCACUUUCCCUGAACUGAAUCUGCAGAGCCUCCCCAGGAGGGAAGAAUGCAGCUUUGAAAAAUAACACCUUUGUUAUUCCAAGUGUUAGAGAUGAAGCCGAGUUUUCAGAUGGCCUCAAGGCCUUAUCCUGAAGACUGUGCAAACUUGACCUAGAGAUGGGCAGCCAGCAGCUACUGUGGUGUAGGGGCCACUUCAUCAACUCCCCUGUCCUCUCCUCAGUCCUCAGGCUGAAACUAAAGAGCCAGGGACUUCCAGUUUCAAACAGAUUCUUGCUAAACUGAUCAGGC